rnacentral:rRNA from 1 species
UGCAGAAAUGCGAGAUGAUCCGCCAAAAGUGGAUGGUGCUACAGCUGCUGCAUGGCUGUCGUCAGCUCGUGCCGUGGGGUGUCUACUUAAGUGUAGAAACGAGCGCAACCCUUAUCCGAUGUUCAAUAGUCUUCGGAAACUGCCACGCGUAUAGCGAGGAGGAAGGAGGGGAUGACGUCAAGUCAGCAUGGCGCUUAUAUCUGGGGCCACACACAUCCUACAAUGGGAAGGUACAAUGGGUUGCCAAACCGCAAGGUGGAGCUAAUCCCAUCAAAACUUCCCUCAGUUCAGAUCGGGGUCUGCAACUCGACCCCGUGAAGCCGGACUUGGUAGUAAUCGCGAAUCAGCAGGUCGCGGUGAAUACGUUCUCGCCUCUUGUACACACCGCCCGUAAGGGC